rnacentral:rRNA from 1 species
UUUACGGAGAGUUUGAUCCUGGCUCAGGAUGAACGCUGGCGGCGUGCUUAACACAUGCAAGUCGAACGGUGAAAGAGAGCUUGCUCUCUGGAUCAGUGGCGAACGGGUGAGUAACACGUGAGCAAUCUGCCCCUGACUCUGGGAUAAGCGCUGGAAACGGCGUCUAAUACCGGAUACGAGCUGCGAAGGCAUCUUCAGCAGCUGGAAAGAACUUCGGUCAGGGAUGAGCUCGCGGCCUAUCAGCUUGUUGGUGAGGUAAUGGCUCACCAAGGCGUCGACGGGUAGCCGGCCUGAGAGGGUGACCGGCCACACUGGGACUGAGACACGGCCCAGACUCCUACGGGAGGCAGCAGUGGGGAAU